rnacentral:tRNA from 1 species
CGGGGUGUAGCAUAAUGGUAGUGCGUGCGGUUUGGGACCGUAAGACCGGGGUUCGAUUCCCCGCUCCCCGA